rnacentral:rRNA from 1 species
AACGCGAAGAACCUUACCUGGCCUUGACAUGCACGGAAUUUAGCAGAGAUGCCUUAGUGCCUUCGGGAACCGUGAGACAGGUGCUGCAUGGCUGUCGUCAGCUCGUGUUGUGAAAUGUUGGGUUAAGUCCCGCAACGAGCGCAACCCUUAUCCUUUGUUGCCAGCACGUAAAGGUGGGAACUCAAAGGAGACUGCCGGUGAUAAACCGGAGGAAGGUGGGGAUGACGUCAAGUCAUCAUGGCCCUUACGGCCAGGGCUACACACGUGCUACAAUGGCGCAUACAAAGAGAAGCGACCUCGCGAGAGCAAGCGGACCUCAUAAAGUGCGUCGUAGUUCGGAUCGGAGUCUGCAACUCGACUCCGUGAAGUCGGAAUCGCUAGUAAUCGUAGAUCAGAAUG